rfam:Helianthus annuus linkage group 9, whole genome shotgun sequence.
AGACCAUGAUGAGGGCAUUUUCUCAAUAGCUCCUUGAAUCUUUCCCAAGUUUCGUAUAAAGAUUCCCCGUCCUCUUUUGAAUAUGUAUCUAUUUCGGUUAUUAAUUU